rnacentral:sRNA from 1 species
GGGGAACAGGGACAGAAAUGAAGCUCAGUUGUUUCAGGGAGGAGGGGCUCUUCAGGACCAAGAAAGUGCCCAUUCUGGGUUUCUGCUGCUUCUCUCCUCCACCUGGGGGGUGUGAGUCAUGGCUUGUCAGGCUGGUGGGCCACACACAGGUUCCAGGGGUACACCCUCCUCUGACCUUGGAAAUAGAAGGGAAGAAAGCAAUUUCCCUCACAGUGCUGAAAAGACAAGUUGAGUCAUAAAGGGAAAAAAAGGCUUUCUUCUGCUGAGUAAAGGAGAGCAUUCCUGCCCAGUUACGGGGGGUGGAGAGUCUCUACCCAUUCCUGGGGGCCACCCCAGAAGGGGGCCCUAGCUCUGGGGUGGGAGCAGCUUUGAGGGCUGCACUCUAAAUAACUAUGCAGCUCUAGAAAACAAAACAAAACAAAAAAAAUGAAAUAAC